GCCAAUGUAGCUCAGCUGGCUAGAGCAGCUGAUUUGUAAUCAGCAGGUCGUGGGUUCGAGUCCCUCCAUUGGCUCAA
rnacentral:tRNA from 1 species